rnacentral:rRNA from 1 species
AAUUCGACGCAACGCGCAGAACCUUACCUGGUCUUGACAUCCCGGGAAUCUCUUAGAAAUAAGAGAGUCCCUCAUUAGAGGAGCCUGGUGACAGGUGCUGCAUGGCUGUCGUCAGCUCGUGUCGUGAGAUGUUGGGUUAAGUCCCGCAACGAGCGCAACCCUUGCCUUUAGUUGCCAUCAUUAAGUUGGGCACUCUAGAGGGACUGCCGGUGUCAAACCGGAGGAAGGUGGGGAUGACGUCAAGUCCUCAUGGCCUUUAUGACCAGGGCUACACACGUACUACAAUGGCAUGUACAAAGGGCAGCCACAGGGCAACCUGGAGCGAAUCCUUAAAACAUGUCUCAGUCCGGAUUGGAGUCUGCAACUCGACUCCAUGAAGUUGGAAUCGCUAGUAAUCGUAGAUCAGCAUGCUACGGUGAAUACGUUCCCGGGCCUUGUACACACCGCCCGUCACACCACGGGAGUUGGUUGUACCAGAAGUAGUUGAGCGAACUCUUCGGAGACGCAGGCUACCAAGGUAUGAUCGGUAACUGGGGUGAAGUCGUAACAAGGUA